AAGCUAUGUUCAUAUCUUUUACAGAGACUUGAGCAUCAAAUUGGCAUUAAAGGAACUGCCCUAACCUGGUUUAAGUCAUACUUAUCAGAUCGUUCUCAGUUUGUACAUGUUAACGAUGAAUCCUCCAUAAAUACUAAAGUUAGUCAUGGAGUUCCACAAGGUUCUGUACUUGGACCAAUACUAUUUACUUUAUAUAUGCUCCCUUUAGGCAACAUUAUUAGGAAUCACUCCAUUAACUUUCACUGUUAUGCAGAUGAUACGCAGUUAUAUCUAUCAAUCAAACCCAAUGAAAUUAAUCAAUUAUCUAAAUUACAAACAUGUCUUAAGGACAUAAAAUCCUGGAUGACCUGCAAUUUUCUGAUGUUAAACUCAGAAAAAACCGAAAUUCUUGUUCUUGGCCCCAAAAACCUUAGAGACUCAUUGUCUAAAGAUAUAGUCACUCUAGAUGGCAUUAACUUGGCCUCUAGCACCACUGUCAGGAAUCUUGGAGUUAUCUUUGAUCAGGAUUUGUCAUUUAACUUCCACAUAAAGCAGACCUCUAGGACUGCCUUCUUUCAUUUACGUAAUAUUAGAAAAAUUAGACACAUACUAUCACAGACAGAUGCAGAAAAACUAAUCCAUGCAUUUGUUACUUCAAGGCUGGAUUACUGCAACUCUUUAUCAUCAGGUUGCCCCAAUAAGUCCAUUAAAACGCUCCAAUUAAUUCAAAACGCUGCAGCACGAGUACUGACAGGAACUAGAAAAAGAGAUCACAUCUCUCCUGUACUAGCUUCUCUGCACUGGCUCCCUGUAAAAUUUAGAAUAGAAUUUAAAAUCCUCCUCCUCACCUAUAAAGCUCUUCAUGGUCAGGCCCCUUCAUAUCUUAAAGAGCUCAUAGUACCCUAUUACCCCACUAGAACACUACGUUCUCUGAAUGCUGGGCUACUUGUGGUUCCUAUAGUCUCUAAAAGUAGAACAGGAGCCAGAGCCUUCAGUUACCAAGCUCCUCUCCUGUGGAACCAGCUUCCAGUUGUGGUUCGGAAGGCAGACACCCUCACCACAUUCAAGAGUAGGCUUAAGACAUUCCUCUUUGAUAAAGCUUAUAGUUAGGGCUGGAUCAGGUGAGUCCUGAACCAUCCCUUAGUUAUGCUGCUAUAGGCCUAGACUAUCGGGGGAUUUCCCAUGGUGCACUGAGCUCCUCUCUUCCUCUCUCUUUCUGCACUCAUUCAUGUCCCUUUAAUGCAUGUUACUAACUUCACUUCUUCCCCGGAGUUCUUGUGCUUUCUCGUCUCACAGGUUCUUAUCGAUCCUGGUGGAGCCUCCUGCCAUGGUCCUGCUAGAUUGCCGUUGCCAAUACUGUUGUUGCUAUGCACCUGUCUGUCUGUCUGUCUGUCUGUCUGUCUCUCGCUCUCUCUCUCUCUGCCUCUCUCUCUC